rnacentral:rRNA from 1 species
AUACGGAGGGUGCAAGCGUUACUGGGAAUCACUGGGCGUAAAGCGCGCGCAGGCGGUCUUUUAAGUUGGAUGUGAAAGCCUACGGCUCAACCGUAGAACUGCAUCCAAAACUAUUAGACUAGAGUGUGGGAGAGGAAGAUGGAAUUAGUUGUGUAGGGGUAAAAUCCGUAGAGAUAACUAGGAAUACCAAAAGCGAAGGCAAUCUUCUGGAACACUACUGACGCUGAGGCGCGAGAGCGUGGGGAGCAAACAGGAUUAGAAACCCUAGUAGUCC